GGAGAGAGGGAAAAGAAAAACAAACAAGCAGACAGUGCACAGGAUGAUACACUUUAUACAUGCACACACACAGAAAUAUGCGUUCACAUAUACAUAUUUCUGUGUGUGUGCAUGUAUAAAGUGUAUCAUCCUGUGCACUGUCUGCUUGUUUGUUUUUCUUUUCCUCUCUCUCC